UUAAGUUCAGCGGGCAGUCCUACCUGAUUUGAGGUCAAAUUGUCAGAAAAUUGUCCCAUGAGAGACGGUUAGAGAGCAGUAACCUCCAAUUUAAAGCUGCUUCACAUAAUGGCGUAGAUAAUUAUCACACCAAAAGCUAAGGCAACAAAGGUCCCUACUAAUGAAUUUAAGGAGAGCCGACUUCAGACAAAGCCCGCAAA
rnacentral:misc_RNA from 1 species